ACACUUACCUGGAAGAGGAGAUACCAUGAUCACUAAGGUGGUUUCCCCAGGGCAAGGCUUAUCCAUUGUACCCCAGAUGUGCUGAUCCCUGCAAUUUCCCCAAAUAUGGGAAACUCAACUGCAUAAGUUGUGGUAGUGGGGGACUGCGUUCAUGCUCUCUCCUG
ensembl:snRNA U1 U1 spliceosomal RNA